UUGCACCUCUGGCGUCGAGCGGCGGACGGGUGAGUAAUGCUUGGGAAUAUGCCUUAUGGUGGGGGACAACAGUUGGAAACGACUGCUAAUACCGCAUGAUGUCUACGGACCAAAGUGGGGGACCUUCGGGCCUCACGCCAUAAGAUUAGCCCAAGUGGGAUUAGCUAGUUGGUGAGGUAAUGGCUCACCAAGGCGACGAUCCCUAGCUGGUUUGAGAGGAUGAUCAGCCACACUGGGACUGAGACACGGCCCAGACUCCUACGGGAGGCAGCAGUGGGGAAUAUUGCACAAUGGGCGCAAGCCUGAUGCAGCCAUGCCGCGUGUGUGAAGAAGGCCUUCGGGUUGUAAAGCACUUUCAGUAAGGAGGAAAGGUUAAGUGUUAAUAGCACUUAGCUGUGACGUUACUUACAGAAGAAGCACCGGCUAACUCCGUGCCAGCAGCCGCGGUAAUACGGAGGGUGCGAGCGUUAAUCGGAAUUACUGGGCGUAAAGCGUACGCAGGCGGUUUGUUAAGCGAGAUGUGAAAGCCCCGGGCUCAACCUGGGAACUGCAUUUCGAACUGGCAAACUAGAGUGUGAUAGAGGGUGGUAGAAUUUCAG
rnacentral:rRNA from 1 species